rnacentral:rRNA from 1 species
UACGAAGGGUGCUAGCGUUGUUCGGAAUUACUGGGCGUAAAGCGCGCGUAGGCGGCUUUUCAAGUCAGGGGUGAAAUCCUGGGGCUCAACCCUAGAAUUGCCUUUGAAACUGUAAAGCUUGAGUGUCGGAGGGGAUAGCGGAAUUCCUAAUGUAGAGGUGAAAUUCGUAGAUAUUAGGAGGAACACCGGUGGCGAAGGCGGCUAUCUGGACGGUGACUGACGCUGAGACGCGAAAGCGUGGGGAGCAAACAGG